rnacentral:rRNA from 1 species
UACGUAGGGUGCAAGCGUUGUUCGGAAUUACUGGGCGUAAAGGGCGCGUAGGCGGGCCCGUGUGUCGAUUGUGAAAGCCCAGGGCUCAACCUUGGAAUUGCAGUCGAAACUGCGGGUCUUGAAUGCCUGAGGGGAUGGCGGAAUUACCGGUGUAGGAGUGAAAUUCGUAGAUAUCGGUAAGAACACCUGAGGCGAAGGCGGCUAUCUGGCGGUGCAUUGACGCUGAGGCGCGAAAGCGUGGGGAGCAAACAGG